UACGCUGCUAAAUGUGUCCCUACAGUGC
rnacentral:sRNA from 1 species